rnacentral:rRNA from 1 species
UACGAAGGGGGCUAGCGUUGUUCGGAAUCACUGGGCGUAAAGCGCACGCAGGCGGAUCGUUAAGUCAGGGGUGAAAUCCCGAGGCUCAACCUCGGAACUGCCUUUGAUACUGGCGAUCUUUGAGUCCGGGAGAGGUGAGUGGAAUUCCGGGUGUAGUGGUGGAAUGCGUAGAGAUCCGGAGGAACACCAGCGGCGAAGGCGGCAUCCUGGACUGGUCCUGACACUCAGGAGCGAAAGCGUGGGGAGCGAUCCGG